AGAGUUAAAUAGUACGUGAAAUUGUUGAAAGGGAAACGAUUGAAGUCAGUCAUGCUUGUAGGGAAUCAACAUGGUGGUUUUCUUCCUUGUGCACUUCCUUGCUUAGCAGGUUAGCAUCAAUUUCAAUUGUCAUUAAAGAACCGGGGGAAUGUGGCUUGUUCGGGAGUGUUAUAGACCUUGGUAGAUGUGGCGAUCAGGAUUGAGGAUUGCAGCGAAUGCUUUUUUGGCUAGUCACCUGGUUUCUGAUGGUCACCUAGCUUUCGAUAGCUUGCUAACGUUAGUGAGAUUUGAUUGUCUAGAUGUUAGAGUGAUCAUAAAUUCGCUAAGUAUGCUGACGUAAUGGCUUUAAACGA
rnacentral:misc_RNA from 1 species